AGUGAACGCUGGCGGUAGGCCUAACACAUGCAAGUCGAACGGCAGCACAGUAAGAGCUUGCUCUUACGGGUGGCGAGUGGCGGACGGGUGAGGAAUACAUCGGAAUCUACUUUUUCGUGGGGGAUAACGUAGGGAAACUUACGCUAAUACCGCAUACGACCUACGGGUGAAAGCAGGGGAUCUUCGGACCUUGCGCGAUUGAAUGAGCCGAUGUCGGAUUAGCUAGUUGGCGGGGUAAAGGCCCACCAAGGCGACGAUCCGUAGCUGGUCUGAGAGGAUGAUCAGCAACACUGGAACUGAGACACGCUCCAGACUCCUACGGGAGGCAGCAGUGGGGAAUAUUGGACAAUGGGCGCAAGCCUGAUCCAGCCAUACCGCGUGGGUGAAGAAGGCCUUCGGGUUGUAAAGCCCUUUUGUUGGGAAAGAAAAGCAGCAGGUUAAUACCCCGCUGUUCUGACGGUACCCAAAGAAUAAGCACCGGCUAGCUUCGUG
rnacentral:rRNA from 1 species